GACGAACGCUGGCGGCGUGCCUAACACAUGCAAGUCGAACGGAAAGGCCCUGCUUUUGUGGGGUGCUCGAGUGGCGAACGGGUGAGUAACACGUGAGUAACCUGCCCUUGACUUUGGGAUAACUUCAGGAAACUGGGGCUAAUACCGGAUAGGAGCUCCUGCUGCAUGGUGGGGGUUGGAAAGUUUCGGCGGUUGGGGAUGGACUCGCGGCUUAUCAGCUUGUUGGUGGGGUAGUGGCUUACCAAGGCUUUGACGGGUAGCCGGCCUGAGAGGGUGACCGGCCACAUUGGGACUGAGAUACGGCGCAGACUCCUACGGGAGGCAGCGGUGGAGAAUAUUGUACAAUGGGCGGGAGCCUGAUGCAGCAACGCCGCGUGCGGGAUGACGGCCUUCGGGUUGUAAACCGCUUUCGCCUGUGACGAAGCGUGAGUGACGGUAAUGGGUAAAGAAGCACCGGCUAACUACGUG
rnacentral:rRNA from 1 species